AACACAGAAGGGGAAAUAUAUGGAGCAGCGUGACCUCCCAUCUGCAUCCACCCUUCAGAUGUUCCCAGAGCACAGGGUAGCAUGGUGGGACCACAAGACCGUGAUGCCCAGGGAAAGAACCCGAAUGUGAACACCCCCUAUCGCAUGAGUGCCUGCAGACGCCCCGUCCAAGGCCGCUGUGUUGACAGGAAGGAGGCUGGAAGCCACCUGAGCAAGGCCGCAGAUCCUGCAGCCUCCACCUGCGGCAGUGGGAAGAGACACCUGUCCGUUUUUCUGUACCCUUCCUGCAGAGGAUGCUAGAUCCUUCCCCAGAACUGGACCCGGAUCUGCUAAGCACCUGAGGUAAAGAGAGUGAGAUCAGAAUGGGGCAGACACUGGCCAGGGCUUGUGGGCCCCAGCUCUGUCCACUCCAACCUCCCGAAGCAUGGCCACUCGGGCUGCAACAAGCCUUGGCUGGGCAAGUACUUUGGAUGCCACUGUUUGUCCUAGGGAGACAAUGGAGUGCAAGGUGGUUAAGUGUCCCCUCCCAGCAGCCCUGGUGGUCGCAGGAGGCACCAUUCCCUUUGGCCUCAGGGUUUCCACCCUGACGCAGAGUCGAGGUCCCUGUUCUGCGCCCCGAGAGCUCCUUGCACUUGGGAUUUCUUCUUCAGUAGCUACCCCCAACACCUCCACCCCUCACCUACCCCCACCCCACUGGAUUAUAACCCCAUGGGGCCACGGAUUUCUCUGUCAUGUUCACUGUGUUGCCCCAGCAUUUCACCCACAUGCGGCCCAAGGUAAAGCACAAUUAGUAACUGUGGAAAGGAUUAAUCAGUUCAUUAAUCUCACCCUGGAGAACCAGCUCUCCUGGUGAAAAGUUCAGCAUUCUGACCUGGAACCUGAGGAAUCGGCCUCCCUCUUAGUGUGGGAAACAAAGAUUUCUCCCAAGUUGUC